UCUUCUCACGCGUCGAAACCUAAAAGCCAUCGUCAUUGUCGUAGUUUCUACCACCGCUGCUGCCACCGCCUUCGUCUUCUUCUUCUUCCCACCCUGUCGUGCCCGCCCCGCCGCUAUCGCCGCCGCUUCCACCGCAGUUUCCUCCGCCGCCGUUGCUGCCUUCUCUUCUUCUUCUUCUCGCCCUGUUGUGCCUGCCCGCCGCUACCACCACUUCCACUGCCUUCUUCUUCUUCUCGCCUUGUCAUGCCCACCCCGUGAGUUGCCCGAUCAGGCCACGCCGGAGCGCCGAUUCAUCCAGAGGUAAUCAUGGCUCUAUGUUUAUAUAGGAUAUGUGCCUUUAACCUCAAAUUAUGCCUCCGACAACUUUUUUUUCUGGAUUUUGAUAUAGGAUAUUGGACUUGGAACAAUAUUUAGAGAUGAAACAAUAAAUCAAUUUACAUGGUAUUUUAAUGUCCAAAAAUGAUGCAUUUUUGGAACCUCUAACAUAGUUUUGGAAAUUUUGAUUUUUGGAGUUUCUUUAUCUAGUUAUGAAAGACCAAACUACAUAAAAAUUUGUUUUGAUUUUUGUCUCUGGUACUGUAGCUAGUUGGUAAAGAUGCAUUUGCAGAAACAGUUAAGAUUAUCUUGGAGACUGCUAAUCUUCUGUGUGAAGAUUAUCUUGCCCAGAAUGCAUUUACUCCAUAAGUUGUAUUUGACACAAUCAGUCAUUGGCAUAACUUUACCAUAAUUGUUUUGUCUCGUCAAGUACCAAUCAACAACUUCUGCAAUAGAUAUGACAAGUUCUGCCCAUUCUACAAAUUAGUUUGGAUGAUGCGUAACAUUAUUCACUUCAACACUUUGGCGAAUCAGGCCGUCGAGAGAGGAGCAGGUUCUGAUGGUCAAAAGCUCACUUAUAGCGUCAUCAAGCAUUGAUUAGGUGACUUCUUCUAUCGAUUAGUGUCCCAAAAGUUUGAAGACCUUGCCGAAGGUGAGGAAGCUCUUGAUAUACGUACACUAUUUUUUUUAUUUAGAUGGUAGAUAAUACUAUUUUACAUGUAUAAAGAUCGGGUAACUAACAGAUCCAUUGAUAGUUGUUUUCACAAGGUUUUUUUGGUUUUAUUAACAAUUUUGGCUAUAUAGUGUACAUAUUUUUAUGUUGUAAAUAAAUCUAUUUUACAGAUGCAACAACUUGAAAGACACAAAGAUAUUGAUAAACACAUAAACCAUCAUUUCUUAUUACGAGAUGAAGAGGUUUGUUUAACUUGGGGCUAUUUGUGUUGUGUAUAUAUAUAUAGUUGCAAGAAAGAGGAUUAUGUGUUAAGAAGGAUUAUAGAAGUUAUCUCUAGAUGACGAGAAGUUGUUCUUUAUGUUUUUUCUUCUGUAACUUUCAUGAGAAUAGUAGUUUUUUUUCUUAUUAAAUUAAUAAUGGAUAUGUAGAUAUUUUUAUUAUUGGAUGAAUGUUGACAUGAAACCUAUGUAUUAACUUGUAAGUUAAAAAAUAUUAGAAUUUUGUUUAUGUAUAUCACUUUUAAUUUAUGAAGAGAGAGUUUUUCCUUUUGUUUUGAGAUGAUAAUUCAAUAAAUCGGAUCGGAUCUAGAUUAAUUUGUAUAGUAAAUGUUCUUUUAAGAUUAUUAAUUUUUGUUAUAAAUGAUGCAUCUAACAAAUUAAAAUAUUAGAGACAACAAUUUACUGUCUUCAUUUCUUUUUGAGACAACACAUUAUCGUCUUAAUUAGUGUCUUUAGUUUUUUUUUCAUAAGAUAAGACAUAACAUUUGAGACAAAAAAUAAUUGUCUUAAAUAUUUUUGAGACAAUUGAACAACCGUCUCAUCACCGUCUUAAAUAACAUUUGAGAUGAUACAACUGUCUCAAUAUUUUUUUGAGACGCUUGUAUUGGAGACGGUUACAUUACUGUCUCAUAGCCGUCUCAAAAAUAUUUUGAGAUAUCAAAUUUAUAAUUUAAGACAUAUUUUGUUGUGUCUCAAAAAGUGUUUUUUUAGUAGUGUUACCUUGCAGUGGGAAGGUAUCUUAGUUUGAUAAUUAUCGUAAAUUUUUACCACUGGAUCACCCUUUUAGGCGAAAUAAGAAAAAAAAUUCUAAAGAAUGUUGUAGUUAUAAAACUUCCCCCAACAUUCCAUACUUCAGGUGAAGAAAUCAUUGAACAAAUAGAUAGUUAUGGAUUUAUCCUAGUAUCUCAGCCUAAUUCUGAUGAGAUAAAUAAAUAUCUUGUUAGGAUGUGCAAGUGUGGUUGAAAGAAAAG